AAUGGGCAUGGCCAAUGCGGCUAUACUGUAACUGAUUUUCAAAACCAAAUAGGUAUGGAUCUUCAAAACACAAGGAUCAAUGAAAUUAGCCGAACAAGCAGUUAUUUAGGUUGUCCAUGUUAAAUCUAUAUUCUGCAUUCUUAUUGUCUUUCAUUGAGCUAUUUGCUUGCAGGCAAUCAUUUACAAUGCAUUUGCUCCAUCUUAUGAUAUCAUGGGCUGUUGUUUGUGAUGUGUGCUACUUGGAACUUCAAAAUCUAAAACCUGGCAAGACGCCAAUAGAAUUUGCAGAAAGGCAACAAAUCUUUGCAGAGACGGUGCUGCGAUGUCUCAAGGAAAAAUGAAGAAAAAUCAGGCUCGUUCUUUUCUUCCAAGAAUAUUUUCAUCCAAAGAGAAGACCAUAAGCCAAACCGACGAAGAUUCAUUCGAUUCUUCCGAUUGCAAAACUGCCUUUUCUCUUCAAUUCAAGAACGCGCUAAAUUUUCCAAAUGCCCCUCUGCUAGAUCCAUAAUUCAUGUUGGUUUUCUAAGGAAAUCAGUACCCAACAUUCGAAAUUUUUUCGGGCAAGUUUACCUAAUGAUUUAUUAAUUCGAGAAUUUAAAAAUUGCAUUGAUUUUUAGUGGUGGAUAAGGUAUUUCAAUGAAAGAUAGAGACAUCUGAAUUUCUCU